GCGUGAGUGAUGAAGGCCUUAGGGUUGUAAAGCUCUUUUACCCGGGAUGAUAAUGACAGUACCGGGAGAAUAAGCCCCGGCUAACUCCGUGCCAGCAGCCGCGGUAAUACGGAGGGGGCUAGCGUUAUUCGGAAUCACUGGGCGUAAAGCGUACGUAGGCGGUGACUCAAGUCAGAGGUGAAAGCCUGGAGCUCAACUCCAGAACUGCCUUUGAAACUAGAUAACUAGAAUCUUGGAGAGGUGAGUGGAAUUCCGAGUGUAGAGGUGAAAUUCGU
rnacentral:rRNA from 1 species